UCCGAGCAUCCUUAGGGCCAUAUUUUAAGACACCAUCGCUUCUCACAUCAACUAUUUCUAAAGGUCAAAGAGGGGAUCAAUCGGGUUUUCAUGAGUUUUUUUCAAGGUUCAUGGCACAGAAGAAGGGUCAAACUACCACCAGGGUCAUAAAACUGCCCCUAGAAAGGCCUACAGCUCCUACGAAAGCCAUGUCAAAUAUGCGAACUUGGGCGACGAAAUGUUUUAAAAUACGACCUUCAGCCUCCUGUAGGUUUUAUUGACCUUAUAUUGUUGUUGUUUUUUAUCAUGCUUUUAAUUUUUAACUGAUUUUGUAUAGUUUUAUUGGUGUUUUUAUCCGGUUUUAUUGUUUUAGAAUAUAAUAGUUCUGUAUUAAAUUCGGCGCCAUUUGACCCAGCAGUUGCAGGGCCAAGAUGAACGCUCAAAUAAUCAAUCAAUCAAUCCAAAAGUUCAACACCCAUACCCCAAGUUCAACCCCAGUAUCCCUAAGUUGAAGUCCCAUACCCCUAUAUUUAACUCCCAUGUCCCCAAGUUCAACCCCAGUAUCCCCAAAUUUAAGUUCCAUAUCCCUAAGUUGAAGUCCUAUACCCCAAUAUUUAACUCCCAUAUCCCCAAGUUCAACCCCAGUAUCCCCAAAUUUAAGUUCCAUAUCCCUAAGUUGAAGUCCCAUACCCCAAUAUUUAACUCCCAUAUCCCCAAGUUCAUCACCCAUACCCCUAACCUCAGCACCCAUGUUUAAGUUCAACAUCCAUACCCUUAAGUUCAAGCCCUGUACCUCAAAGUUUAAUCCUUUUAUUGUUGUUGUUGUUGCCUCUAUAGAUUCAGUUUUAGGGUCUGUUAGUGAACGUCCCUGAGCCCGGUGGUGGCGCAAGCAGGAUUGUUUCAGUGAUGCCUAUUACUAAUGAGACUUUCUAUACAACAAAGUGAGGCCAUAAGGUGCUGGCUAUCAUGUGUUGGAAGAUACCCUAAACUUAAAUUAACAAAACCCCAAACAGUUACUCUAGGUCUUGACUUAGAAAAUUCAUGUAUGCUUCCUUACUAACGAGACUUUCUAUACAACAAAGUGAGGUCAUUCUUUGUUGAUUUAUACCAUAAGGUGCUGGCUAUCAUGUGUUUGAAGAUACCCUAAACUUAAAUUAACAAAACCCCAAACAGUUACAAUAGGUCUUCACUUAGAAAAUUCAUAUAUGCUUCCUUACUAACAAGACUUUCUAUACAACAAAGUGAGGUCAUUCUUUGUUGAUUUAUACCAUAAGGUGCUGGCUAUCAUGUGUUUGAAGAUACCCUAAACUUUAAUUAACAAAAGCCCAAACAGUUACAAUAGGUCUUGACUUAGAAAAUUCAUAUAUGCUUCCUU